rnacentral:rRNA from 1 species
AACGAACGCUGGCGGCAUGCCUAACACAUGCAAGUCGAACGAGACCUUCGGGUCUAGUGGCGCACGGGUGCGUAACGCGUGGGAACCUGCCCUUAGGUUCGGAAUAACUCCCCGAAAGGGGUGCUAAUACCGGAUAAUGUCUUCGGACCAAAGAUUUAUCGCCUUUGGAUGGGCCCGCGUUGGAUUAGCUAGUUGGUAGGGUAAAAGCCUACCAAGGCGACGAUCCAUAGCUGGUCUGAGAGGAUGAUCAGCCACACUGGGACUGAGACACGGCCCAGACUCCGCCGGGAGGAGGGAGGGGGGAAUAUUGGAGAGGGGGCGAAAGCUGGAACCAGAAAUGCCGGGUGGGGAAAGAGGGCUUGGGGUUUGAAAAGCUCUUUCCCCGGGGAGGAAAAUGAGAGCCCGGGGAAAAAAGCCCCGGGCAACCCCGGGC